AACGAACGCUGGCGGCAGGCUUAACACAUGCAAGUCGAACGGGCACCUUCGGGUGUCAGUGGCAGACGGGUGAGUAACGCGUGGGAACGUACCCUUCGGUUCGGAAUAACCCAGGGAAACUUGGGCUAACACCGGAUACGUCCGCAAGGAGAAAGAUUUAUCGCCGAAGGAUCGGCCCGCGUCGGAUUAGCUAGUUGGUGGGGUAAUGGCCCACCAAGGCGACGAUCCGUAGCUGGUCUGAGAGGAUGANCAGCCACACUGGGACUGAGACACGGCCCAGACUCCUACGGGAGGCAGCAGUGGGGAAUAUUGGACAAUGGGCGAAAGCCUGAUCCAGCCAUGCCGCGUGAGUGAAGAAGGCCUUAGGGUUGUAAAGCUCUUUCAGCGGGAAGAUAAUGACGGUACCCGCAGAAGAAGUCCCGGCUAACUUCGUGCCAGCAGCCGCCGUAA
rnacentral:rRNA from 1 species